ensembl:ncRNA asRNA:CR45952 antisense RNA:CR45952
AGUUUCUUGGUAUCCUUCACGACUUCCCCAUUAAGCGCAGUCGAAAAACCCCUCGGCUUAUGUACAUUGUGUAUUUAUAGCAGAGCCGAGUCCUCUGCCGCGAUCACAUAGCAUAAACAAUUAAGUAUAAAAACCUGUACAAUCUGUACUACAAUAAAUAAGCUCUAUUUACCACACCGUUGGCCUAAAGCUUGCUCUCCUUCGCCUCCUUGGCCUUCUGGCGGGAUGCAGCCGCUGCCGCCGGUCCGAAGCGCUGGAUAAAGUUGUUGACCGGUGCAAUGAUGGCCUCUGGAUCGUUCAUGUGCACAUGGUGCGAGCCAUUAACCUCCAGGUACUCAAAGUUCGGCUUCUUCAACAGCACAUCCAGCACCUCGUCGUAGUACUUCUUGUCCUCGAAAUACGAGGACUGGGCGGCCUUGAUGAACAAGUAAGGACAUGUAAUCCGAUUGGCCAUUUCCACACACAGCUCCUGGGACCCGAUGGCAUAGUUGUAAAACUUGAGACGCCUAUCGCGGCAGAAGAAGUACUUGUCCGGGUACUUCUCCGACUUGCCGAUGUUGCGAGCCAUUAAAUGCUUGCAGUGCUCCUUGUUCACCGAAUGGAAGGUGCCGAUAUAGACCCUCUCAAUAAGUUCAUCGUAGGUGUAGCUCGGCGGCUCGUUCUUACUCCGGUUCCUUUCGUCUUCACGCAAGAACUCGUCCAAACGGGUUUCCAUGGUCCUAAUAACCGACGGAUACGGACGCUGAUGAGGUUUCAGGGCAUCAAUCCCAAUGAUCAUGUCCACCUUGUCCGGAAAGACCGCGGCGAAAACAAAGCAAAUAAUGGACGACAUUGAGUGUCCAACCAGGGACACUUUCUCCCACUUGUACUGCUUCAUGAUCAGGCGGAUCACAUACAGAUUAUCCACGGAGUUGUAGUAGCAGCCAUCAGGCAGUCGGGACGAUAGCCCGUGACCAGGAAGAUCGAUCGCGAGGAAUGCCACGUCCGGCGACAGCAGCGGCAUCAGGCGAUCAAAGGUUCCCGCAUUAUCCUGCCACCCGUGCAGUCCUAAAAUUGGUUGGACGUUCUGCGGACCGUACCACUUGCCGGAUAUGUGCCCCCAUGGAACCGUAAUGCUGAUCUCGGCGAACUACGCUACUAUCUUCGAAUUGCAUGUUAUUUCAUUUUUGGAAACAAAGAUCCACAUAUAUAUAAAAAUCUACAGAAUCGGUAUGACACCUACAUAUACGAGUACAUUAGGAAACAUCUAAUUUAAGAGCACCAUAUGUUUGCACGCUGUACGGUGAAAUAAAUGUAACCCCCUGGAAGUCUGUGAAAAUGCAGUGAAGUGGUUCAAAGUACACUUACGGGUCUGGUUGGGGCUUCGCCAGUUAAGUCGCCUGCAUGCCGAUAACGCUGGCCAAGAUCACUGCCGGUAAUAGUGCCACUUGAGUUGUCGUCCGUGUCCAUUUCUGCGCUCGAAAGUGGCCAAAAAGCGAAUGAGCACCAAUUCCAAAGUUUAGCCGAUUUCGGCCCUUAUCAGUAACGACCUGUGGAGAUUAGCACUGCGAUUAGUUAAGGCAAACAGGCGGGG